rnacentral:lncRNA from 1 species
AGAGAGCAAGACAGCUGAACCAGGCUGUGACUGUUGGCUGUCCACCUUCUCCACAUAAUAUUUUCAAGUUUGUUUAUAUAUUGAACUUAAACCCAAAAAAGGGAACUUCUGCUUGCAAAUGUAACUACUCAGGAUGUGACUGUAGUUUCUCAAUAAUCAUGUGACCUAUUUUAGCUUUUUUUUUUUUCAGACACUGCAGAAAAGCAAAAUUCAUGAAAACUUGGGUGAAACCACCCUGUUGUCACAACUUCAUAAUGACCUUACUAACCAGCUGGAUACCAGCCCCAACAGCAUUUCUUCUCUUAUAUUUUUGGAGAGCAAAGGUAUAUGCUUCUGGAAACCCAGAGGAGGAAAUAGAUUACACAUAUGUUAUUAUAGGAGCUACUCUGGGAGCAGUUCUAGCAAUCGGUUUUGUAGCAGUAAUAAUCUGCAUGAUCAAAUCCAAAAUGAUGGACAGUGUCUUUGGAGAGUCAGAUGGCAAAAUGGAUAGAAGGUCAAACACAGGUUCAAGCCAAAACAGAUGACAGCAAUGCAAUAAGAAAUCAAAGUAUAAAGAUCAAUAACCCUUUUGCAUCAACAGUUACCUGGUCUGAGGAUCAAUAGAAGUCUCUUGUGCAUAGGCAGGAAUCUUACCAAUACCAAUCCUUUUCUUUGUUCUUUAGUUGAAAGGCUGAUUGAUUAUUUACAGGAAGAGCUUACAGUGCAGCUAACUUCAAUCACCUGCACCCAAAAGGCCUGCAAUCCCCCUCAGCAUGUACAUGAAGGAAAUGUAUGAGGAAAAUAAAAUACAUGGUUCACUAAUAGAUCCUCUUUAU